CCUACGGGUGGCAGCAGUGGGGAAUAUUGGGCAAUGGGCGCAAGCCUGACCCAGCAACGCCGCGUGAAGGAUGAAGGCUUUCGGGUUGUAAACUUCUGUGAUCAGGGACGAAGAAAGUGACGGUACCUGAGUAAUAAGCCACGGCUAACUACGUGCCAGCAGCCGCGGUAAUACGUAGGUGGCAAGCGUUAUCCGGAUUUACUGGGCGUAAAGGGGGUGUAGGGGGGACAGCAAGUCAGAUGUGAAAACCAGGGGCUCAACCUGUGGGCUACAUUUGAAACUGUAGUCCUUGAGUGCUGGAGAGGCAGACGGAAUUCCUAGUGUAGCGGUGAAAUGCGUAGAUAUUAGGAGGAACACCAGUGGCGAAGGCGGUCUGCUGGACAGCAACUGACGCUGAGGCGCGAAAGCGUGGGGAGCAAACAGGAUUAGAUACCCUAGUAGUC
rnacentral:rRNA from 1 species